CGCGUAGGCGGUUUUUUAAGUCUGAUGUGAAAGCCCACGGCUCAACCGUGGAGGGUCAUUGGAAACUGGAAAACUCGAGUGCAGAAGAGGAAAGUGGAAUUCCAUGUGUAGCGGUGAAAUGCGCAGAGAUAUGGAGGAACACCAGUGGCGAAGGCGACUUUCUGGUCUGUAACUGACGCUGAUGUGCGAAAGCGUGGGGAUCAAACA
rnacentral:rRNA from 1 species